UUCGCUACUUAGUGAGUAUUUAAAUAUUAAUGAAGGGACUUCUAAGAAGAGCCUGUAGGGCAGGCCGGCCUUCCGCGGGCAGACCGGGGAGCUGCUCUUGAACCCGCAGCCCCGUCCAGCUUGGCAAGAGCUCCGCGGCCGUCGUUCAAAUUCAGGAACUUGUUAUUUGUGAAAUACAGUUUCUGAUCUCAGGUGUGCGGACCAUUUGUCAGAGAGAAUCUUGUCGGACACAUAAGAUAGCCGUAGCAGCUAUCUUCACCAGAAUAGAAAAAAGAGAGAAAGCAAGCAUCUGUUUUUAGGGGCGAUGUGUUUGGAAGGGUGAUCUGGAAGCAGCAAUCCCUUUUUGAAAAAUUGACAUCUUUCAUUCCUUUCCUCAGCCAGCCAAAGCGCCGCUUCUUUUUUUUUUUUUUUUUUUUUUUUUUUUAAUUUUUUUUUCCCCUGCUGGUCAAGCAUUUAUGGAGAGCGGGCUUCAGGGGCGGCAGUCAAGCGUUGGCAGCCACUGGGCCGGUUGAGUGAAAGGCCCUUGUGUGGAGGCUCUUGUUUAUGGUGGCAUAAAACGAAAAACAACUCAUAACUUUUCGUAAUAAAUCCCCCUUUAUAGGCGGCUCACACACAGGCCCAGCCGGCGGCCCUGGGGAGUUUGUGGGGAGCAAGAAAUGGGUGAAGGAAUGCGCGUUUGCCAUAAUUACAGGGUUGUAAGGUAACGCUGAAAUUAAUUUCUUCAAAGUUGGGUUUCAGAAGCCAGGGCGGUCUCUGCAGGCCGUCACUGUCUCCGUUUUAUUUUCGUUCGUUGGUUCUAGCCAUUUAGGAUUUUAAAAUGCAUGUUUGUAUUCACGGGCACCUAUCCUGUUAAAGUGAAACCCGUCCUGGGGGUGGCAGGGGCGGGAUUAAGGACGCUUUUUCGUACCAUCCUAUCACAGUACGAUUUCCCCUCUGCUCUCCCCAUCUUACUGAUGUGGUUUGGAGAACCUUAAUGGGCGAUUUGACCACAAAAUAAUGGGCAGGGGGGGCCCCUGUUUCCAUAACGCCCCAGAGUUGUGAGCUGGUACCUGAAGGCCAUGUUUCCGGGAACAUGGACAGAGGCCCAAAUCGCCCAGGCCUGCCUCACGACAGCCUCUCCCCGGGCUGCCUGGUUCCGUAGAAUCCGGAGGAGAGAGGAGACUGUUCAGCUUAGAUAUGGCCAACUCCGGGUGCAGAGGCCAAAAGUUUGCUCCAGCGCUGCGUACUGGACCGCGGGGGCCGUCCCUUCUGCUAGGCCGCUCUCCCCCCACCCCCUCACACCACCUCCCCACCUCCCCCAUUUUGAAUUUUUAUUCAUGACGCUGUCAGAGGCAGUUAGCAGAUGUGAAACCCGGGUGGGACGUGCCAGAGCGAUCUCAGGAACGGGGUCGCCGCUGCGGAAGGCGCGCUGCUGCAGCCGGGAGCUGUUGCUUGGCGUCGGCAGUGGCCCGGCUCAUGCUCAGAAGAAGCUCAAGUUCCAGAGGACCCUCGCCUGCAGAGUGUGGGAGAUGCUCUCUCCGGGUCUACAGAUGACCUGUGCCGUAUCUCGUGGUGGGCAGGACGGUGUGGCAUUCUGCCGACCCCCCAAACGAGGGGCAUCCGUGGCUGCUUCUCCCCGGGCCCGUGGGAGCAAGGAAAGGUCUGAGCAUCCAAGGAGGUGCCCUCAGGGCCACUUAGUGGGGGGUUGCCAUUUGACGAAGCUCCAGAUCCCCAUCUCGGCGGCCCAAGUGUGUCCCCGGCCCCGGGGAGGUGGGGUUGACAGUCUCUAGUAAAUAGUGCUCCCCCACCCCACGCUCCCGGACAGAGGCCUGGCCUCGGCCCCAGCACCGUCCUGUCCUGCCUUUGUCCUUGGUGCUUUGGAGCCAGCCCAGUUCCAAGGCAGACUUGGGCCCACCGGGGGCUUCUCACCGUGUUGAGCUAUCCCAACCAGGCAGAAUUCAUUUUUGAGGGUAUGCACACCAAAAUCGAGGUUCUGGAAGUGGCUCCUGUGUGGUUUUUGUCGCUUCUGGACUGAAUAGAAAGAAUGUGCUAAGCAGGGGGACAGGGUCUCACGGACUGCGGUGGGCCAGUGGGAGGCUGGCCCUGGCAUUUCUGCUUUUGUUUUAAACCAGGGCCAGCCCCCAGGUCUUUCCUCGCCUGCUCUUGGGGCCGGGUCCUGCCCAGCCGUUGGCCACUUGAAGCCCUCAGAUCCUGGGUGAGAGGUGUCCUGGGUGCUGGUGGGGUCCAACUGCUCGACACAGGCGAUGUAUGGCGACAAGGCCUCCACUGGGGCCCGGGUGUACACCAUCACCUGAGCAGGUGCGGAUGGCAUUGUGCUGGGCUCCAUGGGAACAGCGGCAGCUUUGUGGCAGGGUCGCUUUCUGGGUCUGUGUCGUUUGCCCCCGAUGGGGCGGCUUAUGAACCGGUCUUGCUUGCUCCCGUCCUCAGAAGGGGCCUGGGGCCUGUUCUGCUCUGGUGUGGAUGAGGCCUGACGGAAAGGCAGUCCCUGGGGCUGAGGGAUGGGGCCUCUGCCUGAGCAAGUGCUCCCUGGUGUCCAGGGAAACCAGUGUGUGUCCCUAGUGAAGGCCAGUGUUUGGGAAGGGAGGGCGGCCCUUGCAGGCCUGUGAGGAAAACAUCUCACAACCAUCAUGCUUGGUUUUUCUCGGGCUUAGACGGUGUCCUUGCAUGUUUGGGGAGAAGGGAGAAGACACUUGCAAGAACCUCAUGAACGGGCUGGGUGUUGGGGUGUCCUGGCUCCCGUGGGGCAGCUCCCAUCUGGCCCUGCCCCUGGCUUACUGUGCGACCCCAGACAAGGUGCCUCACCGCUCCGGGCCUGCACUCUGAGCCCUAGCCCUGGGAAUGAUGACAGCACCGUCAGUGUCCAGACAGCGCUCUCCCCACAAAGCACAGUUCCUGGCACGUGGCAGGGACACCAUAAAGCGUGCUGCUGUUGUAAAUGGUGAUCACUGUGUUUACCCUGAGUGAUGAUUAUAUUCCCGAGUUUCUAAGAACCAGAGUCCAGUUUUGGUUUCUCUCGGAAGGACACCUACGAGUUUACUCCUCACCCCCAAAAGGCGGUGCAAGGUGAACUUUGAUAUUUUCUCCCAGGUGGAAUGCCAGGAAGCUUGCAAAGCCGGACUUCCCUUGUCACAGGGACGUGGCUCGGAGGCAUUGGGGACACUAGAUGGGAGCAAGGCCCCGUGAGGUCCUGGGACAUGUUUACCGAGGAAGGAGGGGAGCCUUCCCACAGAAUGGCACUUGAGGAGCUCAUGUGGGUGCUGACCCGGGGGUCUGACCUGUGCCUCUCACCUCUUUGGGGCUCCAGGGCAGAUCGAGGGCAGGCCGUCACCACUCGGGGUCCAGAGCGGCCACACCAGCUGCCGGCAUUCGAUCUCGCAACGCGGGUGGCGAUUUGGUGGGAGGGUUUCACUGCCGGUGAGCUAAUUGUUCUUUGGCCAAAUAUAAGCACGCAUUUCCCAGAACGCUUCGUUGAGGAGAAUCUGCUCUCUUCGCCGAUGGUUCAGGAAGACCCAGCAAGAUGGCCCUUUCUCAGAACGCGCUGUUGGGAUGAGAAGGGAGCCUGGGCAUCGGACGGGCAUGCUGAUGUGUCGGAGCAGAGGAGGGGAAAACGCAACAAUUGUCUCCAAGCCAAGACAAUGGAUCUUUUAUAUGAAAUACUUAUUUUCAGGGCUGACCAGUGCCCUGUUGGCUGGGACGGCAAACCUUGAGUAUCUGGGUGUCACAGGCCCCAAGAACCCAGUCAGGGACGGAGAUUUCUAGAAAGGGGAAAAGGAAAGUCCCCUGACCCCCGAUUCUUGGGAAAUGCAGUGGGAACGCCUGGCUUUCUUUGUUGAGUGGAGGCUAAACUUUCUCAAGUUUAAUUCUUUCCUUCCGGGAUCUCUUUCGCAAGACUGUGGGGGCUCCUCGCAAGCACCGGAAAGGUAGCCAGGGUUCUGGUGGUGAGCUGGAUGAUUUGCAGGGUUCUGGUGGUGAGCUGGAUGGCCCCUGCCAGGGGCCAGACCUGAUGAACCUUUGUCUGCUGGGGGGCAUGGGAGGCUUGGGGGGAGUAGUCAUCCAAUGGAAGUGAGGAAAACCGGGACUCUUAAGAGGAAGGGUCCAUCUUCCCAGGAGGAGGCCAUCGAGAGUGAUUCCGGAUGAAUCUGUGGUUCUCUGGGGCCCUUCGCUCCUCCCAGAGCCCAUGGUCCAGUGCACUUGGGAGCAGCGUGUGGGUUAUCAGAGAGCCUGGCCUGCCGUGGUGAAGCCACACGCCGACCCUCACAUUCCGUCCCCGGCUGGAGAGGGUGUGUUUGUAACUCCUGACGGCCUGGCCCAGAGUUAGCCCUGGAAGGAUGGCUUUCUGAAUGACCAAAACGAACAGAGGGUCACUCUGAGGCUUAGGCACCCGCCGUCUGCCUCUUCCCCACUCUGCCGCCAUGGAUAGCGUUCAGUCCUGCUAAAUCCACUGCCUCCACUCAGCUGGGAAGGCACCCCAAGAAGCGGGGCCCGGCCCCCAGGCUCCCGUUAGGGACUCGGAGGAACGGAUCCAGCUGGGGCCGGAACUGAGAGCGUCUUCCUGGCGUUGGGGGGACGUGGGGAAGUCUGCGGGGAUAAUCGGCCUGGGAUCCCUGCCAGCUCGGGGGGUCCUGAGUCUGGGCGCCCCUGCGAAGCGGGUGAGGACAGGGGAGGGAGUGGCCCCCGGGGGGGGGGUGAGGGAUGAGAGUCCCCUCCCCACCAAACGUCCCCUUCACCCACGAGUCUUUGUUGGCAAAUGAUAAUAUUCGGCUUUCAAAAAGGAGGUUUCGUUUUUUAAAACUGCUUUUACAUGGGGUUUUUUGGUUUGGGUUUUUUUGGAUCCUGGAACUGCUUCGCUCUGGUCUGUUUCACCUGCCCCCCCCCCCGCCCCGAAAUGCUAUCAAGAGUCUCUUUUGGGAGUGACCAAAACGACGUCCGAGGCCCCGUGUCGAUUUGGUAAAAUCGAAGUGGAAAGGGCUGGAACGGUGUGUCAGGGGGCAGAACACCCUCGGAGAUGGGCUUUUAUUCUGGUGGCUGGGGCAGCCCCCGAAGUAGAUGGCCGAGGGUCUCACUGUGAGAUCUGGAUGGUGGACUUGUUCGCGCCGGAUUCCGGACGCGUCCAAAACCCGUGUGGCUGCGGUGGGCGGCCGAGAGGUGGCUUCUCCGAGGAGACGUGUGAGAGCAGAGGCAAUGGCUGUUAUCGUGGUCAGAAACGUGUGCAUGGCGUGGACGAAGUGAAACAGCUUCUCUUUCUUUUUUCUUUUCUUUUCUUUUUUUUUUUUUAAGGAGUGAUAGUAUUUUCCCUUAAGAUUUAAAAAGGAAUGUUGACCCUGAUCCCUUUGGCUUCUAGAGCUGGGGCUGGGUUUUUGGGCGGCGAACCGCCCUUCCUUAAUCCUGGCAUCUCAGACGGCAGGAAGAGUGUUUAGCUGAAAUAUUUACCUGCUUGGUCUGGGGCUCUUAAAUCUCGAUUCGCCUUUCAUGUGUUUAACAGCGAUAUUUACACCCAAAUCAGCGCUUUAUAAUCACAUUUUAAGUUAUAAUAAAACGAUGGUGCCGGCUUUGUUGGCAGCCGGAGCGCGUUCCAUGCGGGUGGCGUCCCCUCACCCAGACCGGCCUGGGCUCCGAGGGGGCGCCAGACACGCGGGUUCUGGCCUGCGGGGACACACGUGUGUACUGAGCAUGACAGGGUCUGUGCGUGUCACCUGUGGCGCCCUCCCCGCUCGGCCAGGGGGAGCAGGGCUCGUCCCUGGGGAUUCUGGCCCUGGCACAGGGGCAGUGCUGCCAAACCUUCCGGCACGGGGCUCUAACCAAGAAGGACCUGAUUUGGGCCUGGCUGCUCUGCCACCCGGACCGACGUGUUGUGUCCUGAGCCCCAUGCUGGGGCAGAGGCCAUUAUCUCCUGGGCAGCCUCUGGCCCAGCAAAGGCCACUUCUGGUUGUGGCCAUAUUGUGUAGCCCUGUGCUGGGGUAAGGGACGCCCACUGCCUCUGCCUCCGUAACAACUGAGGUUCUGUUUUCUCUCUUCGGUGAGGGGCCGGCCCCAAAAUGGCCACCUGGUUUUCAGUGGCUUUCCCACUGGAGCAUGGGAGGUAGGGGGACCCUCUCCUCCCCGGGGGCCAGGCUUUUGGCGGCUGUGCCAAGCCGUUCUUGGAAUGGAAUUGCCCACGUUCCUGGUUAGGCGCGUGGCACCGGAAUCCUACCUGCUUUGUCUCUGGCAUCAGCUGGUGAGCUGGUCACGUGGUGGUGUGCGUGAGACCAGAGCCCAAGGACCAGAGGACUCCUCCUGGCCUGCUCCCUUCUUUCUCAGUCGCCUUGCCACCUCCCACCCCCUCCUUUUUGGGCAUGACCGUGUCUGAGCCUGCGCUCCCAUCCCCAGAUGCUCAGGUGUCUAGACAGUCCCUUACCCCCAGUCCUUACCGGCAGAAGGGCCCCUGAGCUGGAGGACAGGCCUAGCCACGGCCAGUCCAUGCUGUGCCCUCCGCUCGAGCACAGAGCUGGCCCUGCCUGCCUGGGGAGGCCCUGUCUCACACUGACAGCCCCAUGGCUCCCCGUGCACGGGGAUAGCAAGUGCCUGGCCACAUAAAGGGUCGAAGGAGAGACUUGGGCAGAUAGCACAGCCCCACGGACGUGGCCCGGAUGCCUUCAGCAAAGGACAGCCAGAUCUGGUGAAUCUCCAAAUAGAAGCUCCAAGUUAAACCCUCUGGCCCGCCGACAGGUUCUGAGGGCCAUAGCCCGGGCACACUCCACUGUGGUCCCGUGUGGUGGCCAGGAUUGGCUUUGGCAGAGCUGAGGGGUCUGUGAUGGCCUGAGAGCGUGUGGUGGCACGCCUGGACUCUGGACGCCGGGGCUUUCGUGGCGGCCCAGCUGCUUGGCAGCGCCUCUGGGCGAAGCGGCCGGCUCCUGAGCACCAGUGGGGUGCCCGGCCUGGUGCUCAGCCCUCCGUGUGCGUUUUUCCUUCUGUCCUCCAGCAGGAGCUGUUAUCCCCGUUCCUUCUGUGCACGGGGAAACUGAGGCUCAGAGAGCUGCCACAGCCCAGGGCCAGGCGGCCCCUUGGACAUAAGGCCGAUGCCGACCCCUGGCGGCUCAGCCUCUCGGGGCAUGGUUGGAACGGGCUUGCUCCGAGGCCGGGGGUCCAGGGAGCGGUCGGGGGGGGGGCCCUGGGCCUCGCCUCCCCCCUUCCAUCCCCGGGGAGCACGCCGGGUGCUGGCCGCCGCCGCCUGCUCCUCCUCGGCCGGCCCGGGAACAAUGCGGCCUCUAUGCCCGCAGCGGGCCCGGGCCGCCUGGACUCGGGAGCAACAUGGCGCCCAGGGCCGCGCCGCCUGGCCACGGGGAGGGCUGGCGCCUGGGCCGCGCCUGGGCCGGGCCGGCUCCCCGGUCCUCCUCGGGCCAGCCGCUGAGUGGCCAGCCGCGCCUGCUGCCUCCUCCCUCUCCCACUCGGGCGCCCCCCCCCCGCCGCCCCCGCCUGGUGGUGGGUUCGGGGGUCCGGCCCACCCGCCUCUGCCACGUCUGCCAUCCUCCCGGCACCCAGGAGCAUCUUUCAAAAAUUCCCGGUGGGCGGGGCCGAGCCGCAGCGGCCGCCUCUGGCCCCCCCCUCCCCGGGCAGCCAGUGCCAGAUGAGAGCAGGAGACAAAAGUAGCAUUUUCCUCGUCCUCCUGGGCUGGAGCAGAGCCUCCCCCAGCACCACUUGGCUCCUGGCAGCCCUGCCUCCUGGUGCCGGGGUGGCCGAGGCCCAGGCCGCGCCGGCCAGGACAGAGGGGACCGAUGGACAAGGGUGACUGGAGAGCAGGACGCCCGAGGGCCCGUCGGACCGGGGCUGGCACCUGGGGACGGCCUGCUGGCCGGCGGGACCUGCCCUCCUCCUCCUGCCACCCUGCCCAGCCGGGCCAGGAGGCACCCUUUCCACUUCCUUGCUCUGGAGAAAGCUCCUCACGUCCUCCCGCACCUUGGCCUCUCGACCCGGGUCUUGGCAUCAGACCUGUACUCACGAGCAGCCCCGGGAACACGGCGCCGGGCUGGGUGCUCCCGCAGGAGUGGGCAAGGUGAACCCCGCACCUUGCUCGUUCGGCGAAGCCAAGGGCAGAAGAGCAGGACCUCCGGGACCCAGGCCAGGGUUCAGUCGGAGUCGGUGUUAGUUCCCGGCCGUGUCUGUCAAAGGCAAGUCAUCGCACCUCUCCGUGUCCCCGUUUCCUCAUCUGUGAAACGGGGACAGUAAGCGUCCCCACCUCAUAGUCAUGCACGGAAUGCGCUUAGCCCAGCGCUCCGUUCCCAGAGAGCACCCCAUACCCACUGUUCGUUCUUGGUUGGUUUCUGAGUCUCAGAAAUGCCUGCCAGAUGGGGGUUAACGCCAGUUGUGUUGGGCCAGGGGAGGCCCCCGGCCUGAAGCCGAGGCCCUAGACUCAGCCGGCUGGCGACGGUCAGGAUGGGGGUCGGACCUGGGCCUGCCGUCCGCUGAAGCCCACCUUCGUUCUGCACGUCCACACGGUGUCCAGGUGUGGAUGGCGCACCUUUGCCCGGGCGUGGGCUCCACGGUGUGCGCACACGGGUAGUGCCCUCUGCUCUGCCUGGUACGUCGGGGGUUUCCAGAGGUGGACAGGCAUUUGGAGGCACCGUGCCUGCCCCAGGCUUCUCAGUGAGCCAUGGAGCCCCUGGGCCAUCCCUGGGGACACCUGCUGGGCACUCCAUGACAGAGGUCCUCUUCCCCAGCCCAGGGCCAGCCAGAGCAGGCUGGACAGGGCCCCAAGCUGCUGGGCUCCCGGGAGGUGAAGGAAGGCCUGCUGGCCGGCCUGGCUGCACGCGGGGAGCCGGCCAGGCGCAGAGCGGUCCCCUUGGAGGGCCGGGCUGUUCCAGGCACCGGCCAUUUACAGACGCUGAGGAGUGGAAGUGAGCCUCUAGGCCCGGGAGAGGAAAUGGCGGCACGGGCAGGCCCAGAACGGGAUCCGGGAAGGUGGCCGAGGGCGGGGAGCGGCCGGAAGGCACAGGGUGGGCCGCUGGGUGCGCUGGCGGCUGUGCUGCGAGGAGCGGCCCGCGGCGGCCCGCGGGGCCAGUCUUCCCGGGCAGGUCCGAGCGCUUGCACGUGCAUGUGCACCUGCGUGCAAGGCCCCGAGAAGCUUCCACGGCCCCGCUUGCUCAUCAGUAACGGGGAGAGUCUGGGGGCGGUCCAAGGAGGCCCUGGGAACGCCCAGCACACCUUUGGACAAAAAAAAGGAGCUUUGAGGAGAAUGAUAUUUACUGCGGGUCUUAGUUCUGUGUCUUCAAAGCUCGGGAAAUGGUCCGACAUGUCAGAUGGGAGCCUGUUUGGGAGGCCCCAGGGGGCUUGUGUGUCCCCUCUUUGUGGCCUCUUAGCAGAGACCAGAGGCCUGGACUCUCCAUCCCUGCCUCAGUUUCCCUGUCCAUAAAGCAUGGGGAUCAGUCCUGCCCACAGGUUUCUCGUGGCCUCCAAGGUGAUGAGGUCACUCACCACUGAUCCCCCUUAAAGGGAAGCAGUUGUUGGUGGCUCCCCAGGACUCUGGCUUCUGAGUUUCUUGAGGGGCUAGAAGGGAGGUUGAGGCCAGACCUUUUGAAGGGAGCAGCUGGUGGGGGGGUGGGCGGCGGAGGCCAGGCUGCUCCAGCAUGUGCUGGGGAACCUCUGGCCCAGUUUCCUGGGAGCCCAGCCCUGCCCCGGGAUUCCUGCAGUGGGUGUGCCCGCACUUCCGGCCGGCGUGGGCGGAGGGGUCCCGCCGCAGCUGAGUUCCCGCCGUUCCCGCCCGCCAGAGCCUCCUGGUUGUGUAGCUGCUUCUGGCUCGAUGGGACGAGGACUCCCACCUGAGCGUGGCACGUGGGGUCCAGGCAGGUGGCCCCCGGCCCGCCGGCCGUGUACGGGCCUGGGGGACAUGGCAGCGGUGGCCGCAGCAGCAGGGGUAGAGGAGGCGCCCUCCAGCUGGAGUCUUUGCGGUGAUGAUCACCCAAAGGGUAAGUUGCCUGAUGCCAGGACCUUUGGAGGCUCCCAGCACCGGUGGGUGGGUCUCUAGGGUCUCAGGCCUCAGCCCUGGGUGCUCUAGCGCCGGAGGUGAGCCCUGUUCCCCAAGAUGCAGUCAUGCGGGCAGCCCGUUGGCAGCCUGGCCUGUGUGACAAUGCCGGCGGCGGCUCUGGGAGGUGGCUUCCAGGUGGGCGCUCCUGAGCCGGGUUUCGUGGCAGGCCACCACAGCCUUAGCGGACACCCCAGGGGAAGGGUAUGGCCACUACCUCGAGUGUCCCGCUGCCAGGGGAAGAGUAAGUAAGACAGGCUCAGGCAGGACCCAUGAAGGGACCCAGAGAGGCAGAAACCCCUGCCUCAGCCCAGCGGGGAAUUGGGGGCCGUGCUUCGCUCCCCCAAGGGAGGAUCAGCGCUUGUCAGAUGUUACACAGAGGACCGGGUUCCUUGGGGUUGGAGCAGCUGUCCUUUGUUGACCUACUAUGUGCCAGGCUCAGGGCUGGGUACUUCGAUCCUACUUAUUUAUUUAUCUUUAAGAUUUUAUUUAUUUAUUUAUUUGAAAGAUAGAGCACAAGC